CCUACGGGGUGCUGCAGUCGAGAAUCAUUCACAAUGGGGGAAACCCUGAUGGUGCGACGCCGCGUGGGGGAAUGAAGGUCUUCGGAUUGUAAACCCCUGUCAUGUGGGAGCAAAUUAAAAAGAUAGUACCACAAGAGGAAGAGACGGCUAACUCUGUGCCAGCAGCCGCGGUAAUACAGAGGUCUCAAGCGUUGUUCGGAAUCACUGGGCGUAAGGCGUGCGGAGGCUGUUUCGUAAGUCGUGUGUGAAAGGCGCGGGCUCAACCCGCGGACGGCACAUGAUACUGCGAGACUAGAGUAAUGGAGGGGGAACCGGAAUUCUCGGUGUAGCAGUGAAAUGCGUAGAUAUCGAGAGGAACACUCGUGGCGAAGGCGGGUUCCUGGACAUUAACUGACGCUGAGGCACGAAGGCCAGGGGAGCGAAAGGGAUUAGAUACCCUAGUAGUC
rnacentral:rRNA from 1 species